CUGCCUACGGGAGGCAGCAGUGAGGAAUAUUGGUCAAUGGCCGAGAGGCUGAACCAGCCAAGUCGCGUGAGGGAUGACGGCCCUACGGGUUGUAAACCUCUUUUGUCGGGGAGCAAGACCCGCCUCGUGCAGGCGGAGCGAGAGUACCCGAAGAAAAAGCAUCGGCUAACUCCGUGCCAGCAGCCGCGGUAAUACGGAGGAUGCGAGCGUUAUCCGGAUUUAUUGGGUUUAAAGGGUGCGCAGGCGGCACGGCAAGCCGGCGGUCAAAUCGCGGGG
rnacentral:rRNA from 1 species